rnacentral:rRNA from 1 species
UUUAAAAGAACAAGAAGGCACAUGGUGAAUGCCUAGGGUAUUUAUGCUGAAGAAGGACGCGCAAGACUGCGAAAAGCCUCGGUGAGCUGUCACGAAGCACUAUUAACCGGGGAUCUCCAAAUGGGGGAACCCAUCGAGUAUAUCUCGAUACCAUGUACUAAAAACUUUACACUUUGUGUAUAGUAUAGGUACAUCGGAAGUAACUCAGUGAACUGAAACAUCUUAGUAACUGAAGGAAAGGAAAAAAAAUUGUUGUGCUUUGCACAAGUCAUGCUAAUACUUACGAAUAAACAGAGAAUAAUUGCUAAUGGUUUGUUAUUAUUAAAAGAAACUCAAGCAUUUUGCAAGAAAUUCGAAAAAAAUUAGUGUGUCUCGUGCAAGGCACGACUACAUUCUCUUAGUAGUGGCGAGCGAAAAGAGAUCAGCCCAAAUUCUAAUUUAUUAGAAGGUUGUAGGGUUAAUUCAUAUAAAUUCUUGAAAUUAUAAAUGAACACCUCUGGAAAGGGUGGCCGCAGAAGGUGAUAGCCCUGUAUAUUAAAUAAUAGUAAAGAAUUGAAUUGAUACCUGAGUACCACGGGACACGUGAAACCCUGUGGGAAUCUAGGAGGACCAUCUCCUAAGGCUAAAUACAUAAAUACACCGAUAGUGAACAAGUACCGUGAGGGAAAGGUUAAAAGAACCCCUGUUAGGGGAGUGAAAUAGAUCCUGAAACCGUGUGCCUACAAUCAAGUAAAGCCAGUGCGAAGCACUGGGAAUUUCUAGUUGAACUAAUUGAACUAAUUUUCUAAGAGAGCACUAAUGACUAAUAACUAAUGACCAAAAAAUUGGGUAUUAGAAAUUUAUUCAUUUGGUAAUUUUUUGGGUUAAUUAGGUCAAUUACGAAUUAGUAAUUUCCAAUGCUUUGCAUUGGUGAUACUGUGCCUAUUGAAGAAUGAGCCUGCGAGUUAGUUCUAUGCUGCAAGGAUAAGAUAUUCACAUAUCGUAACCAAAGCGAAAGCAAGUCUUAACGGGCGUUAAGUAGCAUGGACUAGACCCGAAGCUGGGUGAGCUAACCAUGGACAGGGUGAACCCCGAUGAAAAUCGGGAGGAGGCCCGAACCGGUGUCAGAUGCAAAUGGCUCGGAUGAUCUGUGGUUAGGGGUAAUACACUAAUCGAACCCGGCGAUAGCUGGCUCUCCUCGAAAUAUAUUUAGGUAUAGCCUCUUGUGUUUGUUAGAAGGGGUAGAGCACUGGAAGGUCUGCGGGGCGAAAGCCUACAAUUACCUACCAAACUUCGAAUACUUCUAAUUUAAGCAAGGGAGUCAGUACAUGGGAGCUAAGUUCCUUGUACGAGAGGGAAACAGCCCAGAGCAUCAGCUAAGGUCCCUAAAUACUAUCUAAGUGGCAAAGGAAGUGAAAUUGUUAAGACAGCCAGGAGGUUGGCUUAGAAGCAGCCAUCCUUUAAAGAAAGCGUAAUAGCUCACUGGUUAAACGGUUUUGCGCCUAAAAUUCAACGGGGCUAAGAUAGUUACCGAAGCUAUGUAUGCCAAUGCUUCGCAUUGGCAUGGUAGAGGAGCGUUGUAGCGGCGUUGAAGGUGUACCGACAAGGUCAAUACUGGAGCGACUACAAGUGAGAAUGCAGGCAUAAGUAGCGAGAUCCCGGUUAAAACCCGGGACGCCGAAAAUCUAAGGUUUCCUCCGCAACGUCAGUCGACGGAGGGUUAGUCGAUCCUAAGGCGAGGCCGAAAGGCGUAGUCGAUGGACAAUAGGUUAAUAUUCCUAUACUAAUAUUUGAUUGUGAUGGAGUGACGCAGUUUGAAGAUCACAGCAGCGCAAUGGUUUAGCUGUUGAAGCAGAAAGAUAGGUUUUGUUGGUAAAUCCGCAAAAUCGUUUAAGUCGAUCUGUUAUAACGAGCCGUAAGGCGAAGUGUGGUUUCGUAAGCUGCCUGGAAAAACUUCUAAACUUGUCCCGAUUUUAUCGGGACUUAUAUCAAGUAUUAUUCGUACCGCAAACCGACACAGGUAGAUGGGAUGAGUAUUCUAAGGCGAACGGGAGAACCGUGUUUGAGGAAUUCGGCAAAAUCAAGGCGUAACUUCGGGAGAAGCCUUCCCGUGUUUGUGCUAUGCACAAGUCAUGCUAAUACUUACAUAAUAGAUCUGAAUAAUUGCGAAUGUGAAAUUCGUGAAAAUUCGCACUAUGAUCUGGGAUCCCAAUUUUUUGGGAAGCUCAUAAUAUUUGCAAAAAUUAGUGUGCCUUAUGCGUAGCAUAAAGCACGGGCGCAGAGAAUCGGUUUGAGCGACUGUUUAACAAAAACACAGGGCUCUGCUAAACCAGUAAUGGGAUGUAUAGGGCCUGACGCCUGCCCGGUGCCAGUAGGUUAAAAAAUUAGGUUAAUUCGAUUUAUCGGAUGAAGCUUAGUUUAUAAGCCCUGGUGAACGGCAGCAGUAACUAUGAACUUAUUGUAGUUAUAAAACUUGGCUAAAUGCUGGAACAUCUUGACAGGUUGUCUGUACUGCUAUAAUUUAAUUUUAGUAGUAACAAUCAGGCAAAUAGAGACAAUCAGCAGGAAAGGUCAAAACAUGAGAAAAUUUGCAAUUCCUCCAAAAAUAGGUUGGUAUAUAGCUGGAUUUGUUGAUGGAGAAGGUAGUUUUAAUGUUUCAUUAAGAAAAAAGCCCGAUUAUAAAGUUGGGUGGCAACCAGUUCUUUCUUUUAAUGUAUCUCAGAAAGAAAGAACAGUACUUGCUUUAAUGAAACGUUAUUUUAGUUGUGGAAUAAUAAAAACCAGAAAAGAUGGCUUGUAUUCUUACGACAUUACUAAUCCAAUGGCUAUUAUGACCACUAUUAUUCCCUUUUUUGAGCAAUAUAACUUUUUAUCAGCUAGUAAAAAAAAGAAUUUUUCUAUUUUUAAGAAAAUUUCUAAGAUAAUGUCUGAAAAAAGGCACUUAAAUUAUAAAGGCUUUAAAGAACUUUUAUAUUUACGUGAAGAGCUCAAUAAAGGAAAAGGCAGGAAAAGAAAGUAUUCUCUAGAAAAUGUUUUGAAAUCCUCAGAGACUACACGCCAAGACCUAAAUUUAUUUUAGGUAUGAUAUAGUCCGACCCCUUUGGAGACAAAGGGAGGUUUAAUGAAAGUUAAACCCUUUCCAUUUUUAAUGGAAUUGUAACAUUAGUGAACUGUUCUAAGGUAGCGAAAUUCCUUGUCACCUAAUUAGUGACCCGCACGAAAGGCGUAACGACUCAAACACUCUCUUAAACACGGACCCGGCGAAUUUGAAUUGGCCGUGAAGAUGCGGCCUACCCAAUGUGGGACGGAAAGACCCCGUGGAGCUUUACUGUAAGUUGACAUUGUAUUGUGAUCAGUAUUGUAUAGUAUAGGUGGGAGUCCCGAUUUAAUCGGGACAACAGUGUAAUACCACCCUUUGCUUAUUGCGAUACUCACCAUGUGCCAUUAUCUGGCACAGGGACAGUGUCUGCUUGGCAGUUUGACUGGGGCGGUCGCCUGCUAAAGAGUAACGCAGGUGCACAAAGGUUGGCUUACUCCGGAUGGAAAUCGGAGUGUAAGCGUAAAGGUAAAAGCCAGCUUAACUGCAAGACCUACAAGUCGAGCAGGUGCGAAAGCAGGUCUUAGUGAUCCUCACGUGGCUAAUGGUAGCGCGUGAGCUUAACGGAUAAAAGUUACCCCGGGGAUAACAGGUUAAUCUCCCCCGAGAGUUCACAUUGCCGGGGAGGUUUGACACCUCGAUGUUGGCUCGUCACAUCCUGGGGCUGAAGCAGGUCCCAAGGGUUCGGCUGUCCGCCGAUUAAAGUGGCACGUUAGCUGAGUUCAGAGCGUCGUGAGACAGCUCGGUCCAUAUCUACAUUGGGCGCGAGGUAAAUGAAGGGAUCCUUCCCUAGUACGAGAGGACCGGGAAGGGCUAACCUCUAGUGUACCAGUUGUUUGUACCACAAGCAUCGCUGGGUAGCUACGUUGAUUCGGGAUAAGCGCUGAAAGCAUCUAAGCACGAAGCCCCCCCUAAGAUAAUUUACCUAUGCCUCCUGGGAGAAUACCAGGUUGAUAGGCGGCAGGUGUACGCACAGUAAUGUGUUUAGCCGAGCCGUACUAAUGGCU